rnacentral:rRNA from 1 species
UACGUAGGGUGCGAGCGUUGUUCGGAAUUACUGGGCGUAAAGGGCGCGUAGGCGGUCUUGUAAGUCUUGUGUGAAGUCCCUCGGCUUAACUGAGGAACUGCACGAGAUACUGCGAGACUUGAGAUCGGGAGAGGGAAGCGGAAUUCCGGGUGUAGCGGUGAAAUGCGUAGAUAUCCGGAGGAACACCGGUGGCGAAGGCGGCUUCCUGGACCGACACUGACGCUGAGGCGCGAAAGCUAGGGGAGCAAACGGG